rnacentral:rRNA from 1 species
CACGUAGGCGGACCGGAAAGUUGGAGGUGAAAUCCCAGGGCUCAACCUUGGAACUGCCUUCAAAACUAUCGGUCUGGAGUUCGAGAGAGGUGAGUGGAAUUCCGAGUGUAGAGGUGAAAUUCGUAGAUAUUAGGAGGAACACCAGUGGCGAAGGCGGCUUGCUGGACAGUAACUGACGUUGAGGCUCGAAAGCGUGGGGAGCAAACA